rfam:Myotis lucifugus cont2.7459, whole genome shotgun sequence.
AGUGGUUCUCAGGCGACGUACCUGGAAUUGGGCUCCUUCCUCUCUGGUUCCAGGUGCGUCACCUGAGAACCACA